rnacentral:rRNA from 1 species
UGCGUAGGCGGUUUAUCAAGUCAGGGGUGAAAGGCUACGGCUCAACCGUAGUGAGCCUCUGAAACUGGUGAACUUGAGUGUAGGAGAGGAAAGUGGAAUUCCCAGUGUAGCGGUGAAAUGCGUAGAUAUUGGGAGGAACACCAGUGGCGAAGGCGACUUUCUGGACUACAACUGACGCUGAGGCACGAAAGCGUGGGAGCAAACA